rnacentral:rRNA from 1 species
GGAAUCUUCCACAAUGGACGCAAGUCUGAUGGAGCAACGCCGCGUGAGUGAAGAAGAUCUUCGGAUCGUAAAACUCUGUUGUUAGAGAAGAACACGAGUGAGAGUAACUGUUCAUUCGAUGACGGUAUCUAACCAGCAAGUCACGGCUAACUACGUGCCUG